CCCCAUCAGUGGUGGCAUUUGCAUGACAUUGGUGUGUCAUCUAAAACUGAGAUAUCUCAGCUGGACUGAACUACAUACCUGCUAGCACUGCAGCAGUCUAAUCCCAUGUGUGCAUUGUCUUCUUGAGCCCACGUCCAGCAAGGCUGAGCAUGUCUUCCCAGUAUGCACACAUGGACACACAGAGAGGCAGACACAUACACACACAGAGAGGACCUCACAGACCAACAGAGACAGCACAUUGCCUUUAUCAGCCCCCAGACUUGCAUGGACAUGACCAACAUGGAUGGCCACUUACUCUUCUUCCUCUCCAUCUGACUGUAACUGAAGCUUACUAAUGGGAGCAUCUGAGGACACCAGCUGGCUGAAUAUUAUUCUUCCUCCAUCAUCUUUAUUUAUAGACAAAUAAAAGAAGCCUAUAGGAAGAACCAAUGGUUUCUUUUAACCUUAAAAAGUGCCCCUUGGAAUAGCAUGACCCUUCUGUUUAAAUCCCAUGCUUCCUGCACUGAAAUUUUAAUCAGUUCAGUAUAAUUCCCUGUACACCAGUAUGCUUCCCAAAUACUUCAGUCUCCAGACUGAACAGCAGGCAUUUUCCCUCACCCCAAAUUCUUCUUUCUCUUUUACUAAUAAGCUGGAAAUCCAAUAGCAUUAUUUUACUUCUAAUUUCGGUGAAGUGCCUCCAUUACAAAAAGACAAUAAAGCAUUGUGCUGGAAGUUUGAACAGUCAUUUGUCAUCCAUGGAGCAAUUAUGCUGAGAAAGAGUUGACAGAAUGGACCACUUUCUGUUAAUAGUGCCAACACUCUGCUUUAAAGCAGACACUAUCCACAACCAAGCCCAGCUAAUGGGUAUGUGUCAAAAAUGAUGUUUCUGAAGCAAAAUCUUGGGUACUUAAGAUAUUUCUAUUUCCUCCCCCAGACAUCUGAAGGCGAUAAAUGAGAAACUGCCACUUUUCUAUGUAAUUAUUUUCUGAAAAAAAUAUUUGCUGAUAGCUGACUAUCCUUAAUAUUGAUUACUUGAAAAGGUCAGAAUGAUUCCUUGGUAUUUUAUUAACUUUAUAAAUAGAAAAGGUAAAAGCAAAACGUGAAAGGUAGCAGUGUGGUUAUUCAAUAAAAUUAAAAGGGUGAAAAUGGGAAAGACAGUGUAGAUAUCUCAGGCUGAAAUAUCUGUGCAAAAUAAUAAGAAAAAAAUCUAGGUUAUGUAUGGUGUACAGACAUAAUUAAAAGAAGCAUUAUUAGGAGUGAAACAGAAAGAAAGAGAAAUCAAAACAUGUCACCAGGAAUAAUGAAGAAAAGGUCACAUUUUCACUUAGAUUUAGAAAGUAAGUAUCUUAGUGGCAUGCAUAACAAGGAGAUAAAAUGUGCAUCAAUUGGCGCAUACAGCAGAACCAUGUAGAAAUUUUGAGCUAUAUGAAGUGCCGCAGUUAUUAAAGUUAAAAGGAGAAUUUCAGUCAGCAGUAAUAUUUUAUAUUCAACAGUCAAAGUCUGAGACAACAGUGCUUUUUAAAUGGCUUAAGCCAUAAACCAGCCAACAGCUCAUGCUGGUUCAUAUUUUAUUCUGUUGUGAUUUAUAUGCUUUCUCAAAUUUGCCAUAUGCCUUCUAGAGACCAUCACAUUUAAUCUCUAAACAGGAAAAGAUGCUGCUGGAUUUUCUGCUGAUUGGCAUUGCCAAAGUGCUGAGGACUUCAUGCUUAAAUAUCUUUGAUCACCAUAGUCUGCAGAUGUAGCCGAGAGGCAUUAGUUAUAGACAAAAAGGGAAAUAGUCACCAUUUGUUUUGAUGACACUGUUGCACACCAAGACCAGCUGAAGGCCACUGCCAUUUACCAAUUGGUCCUGUCAAUUAAGGAAAUAUUUCUGGUCCCUUCACCACUUUGUUUUCAUAAGAGGUUGGAGAAGGGAACCUUACUGUGAGGGUGAAUAGCUGUCCCAGUUUACCAUACCAGUGCAAAGCACAAUAGAGUGGUAUGUUAUGUCACCCAAGGUAUCAUUUUAUUAUCAACAGCUACAAGAUACCUCAAAUCAAAUCUCUUUGUACUACCACUGAGCAAAUCUAGGACCUAUUUGCCACAUCGUAUGUUCAUUACUAACAUUACUCCCAUUAAAAAAAAAAAAAAAAAGAAAAAGAAAAAGAAAAGAUACUCUAUAAGGUAUGAAGAAGCUUGAAAUAGUUUUGAGAAAUCAUCUCUCCAUGUUUCUGUUGGUCAAAUUUGGAUCAAAUGAGAAGAUUCAAGGAAAGGAGCCUAAGGACUGGUAGUGUUAGGGGUGUCUUUGAGCCUGGUACUGUCUGAGACACUCUUUAUGUUAACAUAUGCACCAUCUUCUAAAGGGAUUCCAGUACCUGUGUACAGCAAUCCCAUCCUUUCACACUCAUCAGAAAUGGGAAAGCUUCAAAAACCAAACACCCUCAAAGCCAAACUCCUUCUCUGACCCCACAGUGAGACUCCCUUCUUU